AAGUCGUAACAAGGUCUCCGUAGGUGAACCUGCGGAGGGAUCAUUAACACGUAUCCACGUAUCAACCAAACGCGAACUUGGGACUUCACCGUUCCAAUCUGACCUAGUAACUUCAGCCAUGAAGGGAAAUCGUGUCGUGGGUAUUGCACUGCUUUCGAGCAGUUCAGUACGAUUUCUCAAGCAUCGAGGGUUAAGCCUCAAAGCUGUUGUUGUUAGGCCUUUUUUCUAUUUUUACCACUACGAAUAAACCAAUUUCACUCUUUCAUCACAAAUUGACUGAUAACCCUUCAAUGGUAGAGAGAAAUCUCUAUGAUGUUGAAGAAUAGAUAUUCUAACUAAAGCACAACUCUUAGCAACGGAUAUCUUGGUUCUC
rnacentral:misc_RNA from 1 species